AGUCCUACCCAUCUGCUGGUUCCACUUUGCAGCAGGGCUGGGAAAGCGAGGCUCAGCUUCAGUUCCUGGUCAUGCUAGAGAGCAGAGCUCGGGGGCUGGGGAUCUCAGAGCGGAAGCACAGAGUGGAAGCGAGAGCAGGAGGCCAGGCGGGCAUGAGGUGCAUUUACGGCCGGGCGUCGAAGAGGGAAAGAGCCCAGCGCGUGUGUGUGUGUGUGUGUCCACUAGUGUGUGCAUCGGCAUCUGUUCUGUGUCUGCAUCUCUGUAGGUGCAUCUGUGUGUCUGUGUGUGUGUGUAUGUGCUGUGUGUCUGUGUAUGUGUGUGCCUGAGUAGGUGGGUGAGAUGGGCAGGGAAUAAGUGUGGUGGGUGAGGCCGUGUUGAGGGCACAGAUCGAAGAUUUAGCACAAGCCCAGAGGCCACAGGAUCCCACACCAGCAGAUGGCGCUGUAGGUACAAGUUUGAAGGAGACGACGCCUGGAUUGCUCGAGACCUAGAGGGGAAGAUAGCGUUGAAUGCAGGGAUUAAGGGACAUCACACCCCAUCUGCAUGGAGAGCAUGGAGCCUGAGGAAACCUUGAACACACCUAGCAGCUCUGUUUCUCCACGAAGGAGCCUGUGUGCUUUAACGCUGAUUGAAGCGCCUGCACUAAGGGACCUCCUUUGGUUCCCUCCUCACCGGCCCUCCGGACCCAUCACAGGGCUGUGGACGUAAACCAGGACCCAAGAAGCUCUGCAGCCUCUGACAUUUGUUAAUGCUCCUGAGCUUCCCCGAGAAGCCGGCCCGUCCUUUCCUUGCUCCUCUUUUAAGCCAAAUAAAAUUUAACAUUAUUUCA